CCUACGGGUGGCAGCAGUAGGGAAUCUUCCACAAUGGACGAAAGUCUGAUGGAGCAACGCCGCGUGAGUGAAGAAGGGUUUCGGCUCGUAAAGCUCUGUUGGUAGUGAAGAAAGAUAGAGGUAGUAACUGGCCUUUAGUUGACGGUAAUUACGGAGAAAGGCACGGCUAACUAAGUGCCAGCAGCCGCGGUAAGCCGUAGGUGGCAAGCGUUGUCCGGAUUUAUUGGGCGUAACGCGAGUGCAGGCGGUUCAAUAAGUCUGAGGUGAAAGCCUUCGGCUCAACCGGAGAAUUGCAUCCGAAACUGUUGAACUUGCGUGCAGAAGAGGUGAGUGGAACUCCAUGUGUAGCGGU
rnacentral:rRNA from 1 species